AUCAUAUUGGUCAUGCAGUCACAUAUAUACACACAGUAAUCAUGUCUGUUUUAUUCUUACUAUUUCCUAUCCCCACAUUCCAUCCCCUCUCCUCCCCUCCCUUCCCUUUCCUCUGCCUCAUAUAAGAUAAUGCUAUUCUUCUGUAGUGCCCCUCGACUUAUUGUGAAUUUGAGUCCGCAUAUUAGAGAAAAUAUUCAGCCUCUGGUUUUGUGGGAUUGGCUUAUUUCACUUAGCAUGAUAUUCUCCAACCCCAUCCAUUUACUGGCAAAUGCCAUAAUUUCAUUCUUCUUUAAAGCUAAUGCUUUAUUUCUUUUUGGAUAACACAUUAGAUCAUUUUGUCAAGUUCUAAAACAUUCCCACUGGUAAUAAUUACGUUACCAAUAUGAAUGUUGGUAAAAAUUAUAUAAAGAUGUCAAUUAAUUUUGGACAAUUGGCACCUUUAUUUUUGUUGAUUUAUGAAUGUGUUGAAUUCUCUGUUUAAUCAUGUUGCUUUUCAUAUCAAAACAACAAUUUUCUGUACUAAACUGGGUGACUUAAACAAAAGUUAUUUGUUCUGGGCUAAAGGUUAGGAGUUUUCAAAAUCAAUUAGCAGUGUGGAUCCCUCCAGAGGCUGUGACACAGGGAAUCUGCUGCAGGCCUCCCUCCUGCCCUUGGGUGGUUCACUGGCAGCCACUGGCACCCUUGGUUUGUAGAUCUCUGUCUUCAACUUCACUCGUGUUCUACCUGUGUGACUUUCAGUCUGUAUGUCUGCUUUCUAUAAGAAUGUGAGCCGUAAUGGAUCAGAACCCACCCGCUGCUACCCAAUUUACCUUGAUUACCUCUGUAAAGAGCCCUUCUCCAAGAGUGGCCAUAUGGUGAGGCUCUGUGAUUGGGGGAUCAACAAACCCACAGUUAGGAGGAUUUAGUUCAAUCCAUGAGAGUCCUGCCUGAAGUAAA
rnacentral:lncRNA from 1 species